GCUUACCGCCAUACCACCCGAACGCGCCCGAUCUCGUCCGAUCUCGGAAGCUAAGCAGGGUCGGGCCUGGUUAGUACUUGGAUGGGAGACCGCCUGGGAAUACCAGGUGCUGUAAGCC
rnacentral:rRNA from 1 species